rnacentral:lncRNA from 1 species
UUCUCACUCAUAUGUAGAAGCUAAAAAAAAGUUGAUCUCAUAGAAAUAAAAAGUAGACCAGAGGAUACUAGAGGCUGGGAAGGGUGGUGAGAAGGCAGGGAUAGUAUCUUGUUUAUGCAGAUGUGCACCUCCUUAAGGGAACAAUUGUAUUUGCAAAAUGCACCACUUGCUGGCUAGAUAAUGAUGAUGACAAUGAUUAAGAAAGAUGUUAUUGAACUAUGUUGCUGGGCAUGUGUUUGGUGAUCCAACUUCUGGACCUGCCAGAUGAGCUGACACAGUGAAUUCCUACACUGGAGUGGCUAGUGAUGACUUAACCAAAUAUAAGUACGCCACUAAACCCCAACUAAAUGUAUCCUCAAUUCAACUAGCCCUUAGUCAUCUCCAUCACCUGGCAGGAUUUGCAGGAUAAUUGCUCAGAACUAGAAUAUUGAUCCAGAUUUUUACAUUACCCAUCCCUUUUGUUUAUUCUGAGCUGCAGUUGGAGACUGCUGGUUGGUUAACAGGAUUAAGCAGAGUUAGCCUAAAAUGUGGGCAAAAACUUAAAAACAACAAAUGAGUCUAGAAUUUUUUUUUACAGUAAGAAUAUUUUUUUCUAUGUAGACCUUUUAGAUUGGCUUUGAUGGAACUCUAUGAGGACGUGUAACAAGAUAGAACCAAAUAUUGAAAAAUAUAAGAAAAGUUAAGGAAUGUGAUCUGAAAACAACCCCUACAAGCAACCCUUGUAUAGUAGUUAUUAAUUAUCUGUUUAGUGAAUGAAUCCAUAAAGAAAUGCAGACUCUCUCAAUUUUGUAACCAAGAAUAUUAGGAAGAAGAGAGCAUAACACAUGAAGGUCAAACUCCAAUGAGUGGGAAAAAUAAGUUUUUUUAAAACUGGCCUUUAACCAAUUAGAAAUAGCAAUGAUGAGUAAAAUCUUCAUUUAUUCAUCAACACUAUGUUUAUACACAAUGAAAUGAGGUUAAACCUUAGCAAUUAUUUGGUUAAUCUGAAGUAUGCAAACAUAUUAAUCAAAACAUUUUAUUCUAAAAUGAACUGUUUGAGCUGAAUGAAAAAGCAAGAUGAUAUGGUUUGGCUGUCUCCCCACCCAUAUUCUCUUCGUGAAUUGUAUCUCCCAGAAUUCCCAUGUGUUGUGGGAGGGGCCCAGUGGGGAGGUAAUUGAAUCACAGGAGCCAGUCUUUCCCAUGCUAGUCUCAUGAUAGUGAAUAAGUCUCAUGAGAUCUGAUGGGUUUAUCAGGGGUUUCUGCUUUUGCUUCUUCCUCAUUUUCUCUUGCUGCCACCAUGUAAGGAGUUCCUUUUGCCUCCUGCCAUGAUUCUGAGGCCUCCCCAGCCAUGUGGAACUGUAAGUCCAAUUAAAUCUCAUUUUCUUCCCAGUCUUGGGUAUGUCUUUAUCAGCAGCAUCAAAACGAACUAAUACAGUAAGUUGGUACCAGGAGUGGGGUGUUUCUGAAAAGAUACCCAAAAAUGUGGAAGCAGCUUUGGAACUUGGAAGCAGGCAGAGGUUGGAACAGCUUGGAGGGCUCAGAAGAAGACAGGAAAAUGUGGGAAAAUUUGGGUCUUCCUAGAGACUUGUUGAAUGGCUUCGCCCAAAAUGCCGAUAGCAAUAUGGACAGUAAGGUCCAGGCUGAGGUGGUCUCAGAUGGAGAAGAGAUGAGGCACUUGUUGGGAACUGGAGUAAAGAUGAGUCUUGUUAUGUUUUAGCAAAGAGACUGGCAGCAUUUGCCCCUGCCCUAGAGAUUUGUGGAAUUUCGAACUUGAGAAAGAUGAUUUAGG